rnacentral:lncRNA from 1 species
CAGUGACUCAGCCCCUGUAAUAGGGUUAGAGGCAGAGAAUCCCAGUGGAGAGAGGGGAAACGGUCAGGCAGAGACAGCAAGGGUGGUUUGUUGCUCCAGUGCCUUUCCAUUCAGCUUCACACUCCUGGGCCAGACUACACUCAGUCAUAGGACCUACUGAAGAGAUGAGUCUUCAGCAAAGACUUAAAGGUUGAGACCGAGUCUGCGUCUCUCACAUGGGUAGGCAGACCAUUCCAUAAAAAUGGAGCUCUAUAGGAGAAAGCCCUGCCUCCAGCUGUUUGCUUAGAAAUUCUAGGGACAGUAAGGAGGCGUGCGUCUUGUGAACGUAGCGUACAUGUAGGUAUGUACGGCAGGACCAAAUCGGAAAGAUAGGUAGGAGCAAGCCCAUGUAAUGCUUUGUAGGUUAGCAGUAAAACCUUGAAAUCAGCCCUUGCCUUAACAGGAAGCCAGUGUAGAGAGGCUAGCACUGGAGUAAUAUGAUCACAUUUUGGGGUUCUAGUCAAGAUUCUAGCAGCCGUGUUUAACACUAACUGAAGUUUAUUUAGUGCUUUAUCCGGGUAGCCGGAAAGUAGAGCAUUGCAGUAGUCUAACCUAGAAGUAACAAAAGCAUAUAUUCAUUUUUUCUGCAUUAAGCUUCUGACUUUUGCAAUGUUACGUAGAUGGAAAAAAGCUGUCCUUGAAACAGUCUUGAUAUAUUCGUCAAAAGAGAGAUCAGGGUCCAGAGUAACGCCAAGGUCCUUCACAGUUUUAUUUGAGACGACUGUACAACCAUCAAGAUUAAUUGUCAGAUUCAACAGAAGAUCUCUUUGUUUCUUGGGACCUAGAACAAGCGUCUCUGUUUUGUCCAAGUUUAAAAGUAGAACAUUUGCAGCCAUCCACUUCCUUAUGUCUGAAACACAGGCUUCCAGGGAGGGCAAUUUUUGGGCUUCACCAUGUUUCAUCGAAAUGUACAGCUGUGUGUCAUCCGCAUAGCAGUGAAAGUUAACAUUAUGUUUCCAAAUGACAUCACCAAGAGGUAAAAUAUAUAGUGAAAACAAUGGUGGUCCUAAAACGGAACCUUGAGGAACACCGAAAUUUACAGUUGAUUUGUCAGAAGACAAACCAUCCACAGAGACAAACUAAUAUCUUUCCGACAGAUAAGAUCUAAACCAGGCCAGAACUUGUCCGUGUAGACCAAUUUGGGUUUCCAAUCUCUCCAAAAGAAUGUGGUGAUCGAUGGUGUCAAAAGCAGCACUAAGGUCUAGGAGCACAAAGACAGAUGCAGAGCCUCGGUCUGAUGCCAUUAAAAGGUCAUUUUCCACCUUCACAAGUGCAGUCUCAAUGCUAUGAUGGGGCUAAAACCAGACUGAAGCAUUUCGUAUACUUUGUUUGUCUUCAGGAAGGUAGUGAGUUGCUGCGUAACAGCUUUUUCAAAAAUUUAGAGAGGAAUAGGAGAUUCGAUAUAGGCCGAUAGUUUUUUAUAUUUUCUGUGUCAAGGUUUGGCUUUUUCAAGAGAGGCUUUAUUACUCCACUUUUCACAUCCCACUUAUCAUUGUGGUAUUAUAUGGUUAAUGGGACAAGGUUACUGUAGGUGUGUCUUAUUUUCUGUCUCCUAGGAUGAGUCCUCUGCAAUGUGUGCCAUGAUUGCAGACAGAAACACUGGUUUAGGCGACAAGAUAACAAUACCGCUCAGUGCACCAGAUGAUCCCUCUGUAAUGUAUGAUACGGUUCAAGAACCCAGAAACAACAACCAAGAGGAGACAACAACACCCCUCAGUGCUCCAGAGGAUCCCUCAGUGACAUACUCCACCAUCGUCCACAUGAAAGGAAAAAGGAACGCAGUAGUGAGUCUGGAGAGAGGUGGAGAAACAGAGUACGCCACUAUCAAGACAGGCACGUUCUCCUAGAGCCACUGUACAAUAGGCCUACAGCCAUCUCACAGCCUUUUCCUGCAGAGAGAUCUCAUAUUGGGCCCAGUAUCAAGAGGUUUGAUCUGGCACACAUGACGAUAAAUAUAUUUCACUCUCUACUAAGACAUGUUGAGUGGUUAUCACAGGAGAUCAGAUGUUAACCUACAACCAAAAUAAUAAAGUCCCAGAGAUAUAGGCAAGAUGAUUGGUGAAGCAAUAAGAUACCAUUUUGUUUUUGUGUAGCUGAGACAAUCAAAGCAACUUAUAUGGCUUAAAGUUCAGCCAGUUCUCUUUUUAUAUCGUUGUUGUGCAUUUAUUUUUAAAUCUGUAAACUUUUUGAAAUAGAGACGGAUGAUUUCAUACGUUUGAGAAAAGGGAAAAUGUGGUUUGAUGUGUCAAAGCAACAAAAAAAAAAGAUUUCACAAUCAGUAUUGCAAGAGGUUGCUAUCAUCCAUCUUAAUUUAUACACUAUACUUCUUAUUUUUCUGUCAAGUAACUGGUAUACACUGAGCAUUUCAUCAUUCUCGAAGUUGUGAAAACAACCUCAACAUGUUGUCAAAACCUGUUAGUUAGCUACAGUACUUCCUCUUUCGUGUAAUGGACAAAUCACAUAUUGUGGACUUCCUGAAGAGGGAAAGCAGUCUAACAAGGUCAUCAACUGAAGCAUACACUUCUGAAGUGCACAACUAACAGGGAAUGACAUGUUUAAGUGUGUCCUUUUCUUUGUCAUUUGACAAAGUCAGAUUCUCCAAUCAUAACUGUAAAUACACUGAACAAAGAUAUAUACGCAACAUGUAAAGUGUUGGUCCUACAGUAUGUUUCAUGAGCUGAAAUAAAAGAUCACAGAAAUGUUCCAUACACACAAAAAGCUUAUUUCUAUCCCAGGCCCACCCAUGGCUGUACCUCUGCCCAGUCAUGUGAAAUCCAUAAAUUAGGGCCUAAUUGAUUUAUUUCAAUUGACUGAUUUCCUUAUAUGAACUGUAACUCAGUAAAAUGUUUGAAAUUGUUGCAUAUUGCAUUUCUAUUUUUGUUCAGUAUACAUAUGAGGACACCGAGAUCCAGACUUCUGUAAUUUUAUCUAAUCUGACAAAUAAAUGAAUAACGCAAAUCUAUAUUUUAUACACAAUAAAGAAAAUAAAUGAUGGGUCAACAUCUAAAUAUUGCUUCCAGUGUCGAUCAACACUCACUAGAGAAGUAGGCAAAACUAGAAACGCCGCUCUGCGGACAAAAGGCAAUUUUAAAACUCUUCUGUGACUCCUGCCAUGUCUACAGACAUCCCCAAACAAACAGAAACGCAGUGGUGGAAAGAGUACUCAAUUGUCAUACUUGAGUAAAAGUAAAGAUACCUAAAUAGAAAAUGACUCAAGUAAAAGUGAAAGUCACCCAGUAAAAUACUACUUGAGUAAAAGUCUAAAAGUAUGUGGUUUUAAAUAUACUAAAGUAUCAAAAGUAAAUGUAAUUGCUAAUAUAUACUUAGUAAUCAAAGUAAAAGUAUAAAUAACUUCCAAUUCCUUAUAUUAAGCAAACCAGACGGCACAAUUGUAUUACCUUAUGAAUAGCUAGGGGCACACCCCAACACUCAGACAUCAUUUACAAACAAAGCAUCUGUGUUUAGUGAGUCCACCAGAUCAGACGCAGUAGAUGACCAGGGAUGUUCUCUUAAUAAGUGCGUGAAUUGGACCAUUUUCAUGUCUUGCUAAGCAUUAAAAUGUAAACACGUAGUUUUGGGUAUCAGGAAAAAUGUAUGGACUAAAAAAUACAUUAUUUUCUUUAGGAAUGUAGUGAAGUAAUAUAACUGGUAAAGUAAAGUACAGAUACCCCAAAAAAUGACUUAAGUAGUAUUUUAAAGCAUUUUUACUUAAGUACUUUACACCACUGCAAAAACGACUCUCUGAGAAUGAGUGCACAACUGGUAAAUGGUGCUGCCAAUGACUGGAACGAACUACAAAAAUCUCGGAAACUGGAAACGCUUAUCUCCCUCACUAGCUUUAAGCACCAGCUGUCAGAGCAGCUCACAGAUCACUGCACCUGUACAUAGCCCAUCUAUAAUUUAGCCCAUACAACUACCUCUUCCCCUAAUGUAUUUAUUUAUUUAU